UACGGGGGGGGCAAGCGUUGUUCGGAAUUACUGGGCGUAAAGGGCGCGUAGGCGGCCUUCUAAGUCGGACGUGAAAUCCCUCGGCUUAACCGGGGAACUGCGUCUGAUACUGGAUGGCUUGAGUUUGGGAGAGGGAUGCGGAAUUCCAGGUGUAGCGGUGAAAUGCGUAGAUAUCUGGAGGAACACCGGUGGCGAAGGCGGCAUCCUGGACCAACACUGACGCUGAGACGCGAAAGCUAGGGGAGCAAACGGG
rnacentral:rRNA from 1 species